CAGCAUCCUUUAUAAACCCCCCGGUUACUCUCUGUGGUCUCUGGGACAAGAAAGGAUGCGAGAGGAAUCUUAGAACUUUCCAAAGCUGAGAGCUGAGUGUCAGUAGCUCUUGGUUAUUUCACCUCUAAGACAGAA